GUGAGAUCUGAAAAUAUUGCAAUAUUCAAUGGAUGCUGUGUUAAAAGUAAUAAUUAAGGGGUAACACUGUGAAAAAAAGAGAAGAAAAGAAAAGAGUAACAUUCCAUUUCUGUGGCAAAACAGUAAAUGUGGAUAAAUCCUUGUAAAAAGAAAUAAAAUGUUCAUGAUAAUUGUUUCACUAUUUAUUUUCAUGCAUAGGGCCCGUUGUAUCACUUUGUGCUGUUUGAGACUGAAGAAGAUACUCCAGGAAAUUGUUUGACAAAAUAAGCACCAAAGAAAGAAGUGUGAAGCAAAUUUACUUCUCUUAAAAAAUAAAAAUAAAGAUGAAAAUUGAAUAGCUCAAAUAUGGAGAACGUUAAGAAUUAUGACUAAUCAGCUCACUACUAAAAUUGUUUAAACACCAAUUUCUCCUUUCCAAGAAGUCCAGACGUCAAUAAAACAAAUUUCUCUAGCAAAACGUAAUUUAAUGCCUAGAAAUAACUUUAUAGUAACUGGAAAUGAUUGUCCCAUUUUCCCUCCUCCUAAACAGUAAGCAAGAUUUAUUUACCAUAUAUAGGCCUUUAAGCAAUAUAUAUAAAUAUAUAUAUACAUUUUUUUUUAUUCUUUUGGCAUUUUUAUGAAG